CGGGUGCGUAACGCGUAUGCAAUCUACCUUUCACAGAGGGAUAGCCCAGAGAAAUUUGGAUUAAUACCUCAUAGUAUAGCUGAACCGCAUGGUUCUACUAUUAAAGAUUUAUCGGUGAAAGAUGAGCAUGCGUCCCAUUAGUUAGUUGGUAAGGUAACGGCUUACCAAGACUACGAUGGGUAGGGGUCCUGAGAGGGAGAUCCCCCACACUGGUACUGAGACACGGACCAGACUCCUACGGGAGGCAGCAGUGAGGAAUAUUGGUCAAUGGGCGCAAGCCUGAACCAGCCAUGCCGCGUGCAGGAUGAAGCAUCUAUGGUGUGUAAACUGCUUUUAUACGAGAAGAAACAACGCUACGUGUAGCGUCUUGACGGUAUCGUAAGAAUAAGGACCGGCUAACUCCGUGCCAGCAGCCGCGGUAAUACGGAGGGUCCAAGCGUUAUCCGGAAUCAUUGGGUUUAAAGGGUCCGUAGGCGGUCAGAUAAGUCAGUGGUGAAAGCCCAUCGCUCAACGGUGGAACGGCCAUUGAUACUGUCUGACUUGAAUUAUUGGGAAGUAACUAGAAUAUGUAGUGUAGCGGUGAAAUGCUUAGAGAUUACAUGGAAUACCAAUUGCGAAGGCAGGUUACUACCAAUAUAUUGACGCUGAUGGACGAAAGCGUGGGUAGCGAACAGGAUUAGAUACCCUGGUAGUCCACGCCGUAAACGAUGGAUACUAGCUGUUGGAAGCAAUUUCAGUGGCUAAGCGAAAGUGAU
rnacentral:rRNA from 1 species